GAUAAGCCAACCAAAAGGCAGAGAGGGGACAAGGCUUGAAGGAGGUCCUACUCUCACCAGAAUUAUGGAAGGGGUCAGGUGUGUUUUAGUUCCCCUGCUACCUUGCCUGUGCUCUUUUGCUCCUUCCGAGGUCUCCAGCUUUCAGAGUCUCCGUUUAAAAGCAAAACAAAGCAAAAUGAACAAGACAAAACUUUGGGUCGCCUAGAGCUUCUUUUACAUCAAAAUUGUUAUGAAUAAUAACACUAAUAACAAACCCAGCAGCAGCUUUCAUGGGCACUUUCGACAAACUACACUAAAUGCUCUGCAUACAGUGUCUUAAUUGUCUCAAGGACUCUUUACGGUAUCAGUCUUGAGUGGCCCCCAGCUCUCCUGGAACACGGGGUGCCCCAGUUUGGGCGGGAACAGCACCCAUGCCCUCACAGACAGCAGUCCCUGAGUGCUGCCCAGUCACAACACAUACACGGCCAAGGUAACAGAGGUGAGGAGGAAAAACACCAGGCUGUUUGCACUGGGACAUGGUAACCGUGAGAUGAGCAAACGUUUAAUUGUGUUUAUUGAGGUCAACGUGAAACCUGUUGAACCUCUUACAACAACUUCCCUGACCUCUGAUGCACGCCUUUCUGAAACACCUCAGGCUGAGCUCGUUGCUCUGAGAUGUCAGCAUGUUCCAUUCCGCCCACAAAGCAAGAAUCCAGCCUCUCCUCCAACAAGUGGAGUGACCUUUCUCAUGUCGCCCUCCAGGGGCAAAUGCUCAGAAGAAUCCUGGGUGGAGGCAAGAAGCACAGCUGGGACCCAGCUGCCUUCGAAACAGCAGCCACCAGAAACGCAGCCCCACGAGGAGCACCACCACCCACGGCAACAGCUCCUUCUCCAAAUGGCCACGUGAAUGCACCAAGAGUCCUCGGGUUAAGGAAACUGAAGGUCCUUAGGGUGUGUAAGUUGUCCUGCUUGGUCCACACCUAGUCCGCCUCCUUCUAUCACAGCACCCAGGGACCCUGGCCCCUCUCUGAGUGAUCAUUGGCACUUGUAUUAUCACAACAACCAUGUAUAGUAAAACUACUUCCUGCCACUGGGUGUUUUCCUCUCUCAAUAUCUGGCUGCAGUAUUCUGAUACGGUUGUCUCGUUGAGGCUGUGGGAAAGGCCGGGCCCUGGGAAUAAAGCCGGUCUCACCCGCAGGGUUGGGGGACAUUUUCCAGUGUCAAACAUGCAGGUGAAAUGUGGGUUCAUGGACAGGAAGCCAGAACUUAGUAGGUGAGGAGGUCUGAGCUUACGAGUUUCUGAUCAUCCCUCCCCGCAGGGUAGAGAGGAAAGGUAACCUUGCUACAUGGAUGCGGGCCCAGGGCUAGAGAGGGAGGGACAUGAGCAAGCUCCACGUGGAAGUGUGUUGUUCUAUUCCUUUUGCCAUCCUUGGUCACGGAGUGAGACCCUCUUUAAAUGCCCCAGCCCAGUCUCAAGGGCGCUUUGGGGAACUUGAAGAAUGAUCUCAGGUCUGCAGUUGAGAGCAGAGUUAGAGGGAGGCCGUGUCCCCGAUGCUGACAUGGUGGACACGCGGGGGACUCCAAGUCCUUGGCAAGCCAGCCCACAGGCCUCCCUAACUCAGAGGAUCAGGUUUGGUUUAACUGAACAAUGGGCUUCCCUGCAUCUUUUCUCAUUAUUUACGUCUACUGCCUUCCCGGUAACGAACAUGCUGGUAAGCUCAGUAACGGCUGUCACGAUUGUUUAGAGAGUUAAAAGUUAAAAUCCAGCUUUACAGCGCGGUUUCGAGUUCCCUGACCACAUCCAAGUCUCCCACAUGACCUGCCAGCUGAAACGUUCUGUUUUCAGGGGUGGCUCACCUGGGGUCACCCCAGCAGUGCGGGGGAAACCCCGAGUGCCAGCGGACCAGAGAACUC